rnacentral:rRNA from 1 species
GUCUGGGAUACCACUUGGAAACAGGUGCUAAUACCGGAUAACAACAAUAGCUGCAUGGCUAUUGCUAAAAGGCGGCGAAAGCUGUCGCUAAAGGAUGGACCCGCGGUGCAUUAGCUAGUUGGUAAGGUAAUGGCUUACCAAGGCGACGAUGCAUAGCCGAGUUGAGAGACUGAUCGGCCACAUUGGGACUGAGACACGGCCCAAACUCCUACGGGAGGCAGCAGUAGGGAAUCUUCCACAAUGGGCGAAAGCCUGAUGGAGCAACGCCGCGUGAGUGAAGAAGGUUUUCGGAUCGUAAAGCUCUGUUGUUGGUGAAGAAGGAUAGAGGUAGUAACUGGCCCCUAUUUGACGGUAAUCAACCAGAAAGUCACGGCUAACUACGUGCCAGCAGCCGCGGUAAUACGUAGGUGGCAAGCGUUGUCCGGAUUUAUUGGGCGUAAAGCGAGCGCAGGCGGAAAGAUAAGUCUGAUGUGAAAGCCCCCGGCUUAACCGAGGAAUUGCAUCGGAAACUGUGUUUCUUGAGUGCAGAAGAGGAGAGUGGAACUCCAUGUGUAGCGGUGGAAUGCGUAGAUAUAUGGAAGAACACCAGUGGCGAAGGCGGCUCUCUGGUCUGUAACUGACGCUGAGGCUCGAAAGCAUGGGUAGCGAACAGGAUUAGAUACCCUGGUAGUCCAUGCCGUAAACGAUGAGUACUAAGUGUUGGGAGGUUUCCGCCUCUCAGUGCUGCAG